UAAAUGGGGGAUAAGAGAAGGGAGGAAGAGACAUUCCGAAUGAGAGAAAAAUAAUAAUAAGCAUAGAGGUGAAGGAAGAAGAUGGAGUACGAAAUGUGUGAUAUUUGAUAGUAUUUUGAGAUUUUAGAUAAAAAUCUUGGGGAAACUUUCCUAAAUUUGUGAGAACAAAGAAAGAAGAAGAGAAAAAGAAUAAGGCUCACGAUCAAAAGGAAACUAUAAAC
rnacentral:lncRNA from 1 species